AACGAACGCUGGCGGCGCGCCUAAUACAUGCAAGUCGAGCGAGAAGACGUAGCAAUACGUUUGUAAAGCGGCGAACGGGUGAGGAAUACAUGGGUAACCUACCCUCGAGUGGGGAAUAACUAGCCGAAAGGUUAGCUAAUACCGCGUACGCUCCUCGGACUUCGGUUCAGGGAGGAAAGCGAUACCGUGGGUAUCGCGCUCUUGGAUGGGCUCAUGUCCUAUCAGCUUGUUGGNGAGGUAACGGCUCACCAAGGCUUCGACGGGUAGCUGGUCUGAGAGGACGAUCAGCCACACUGGCACUGCGACACGGGCCAGACUCCUACGGGAGGCAGCAGUGGGGAAUAUUGCGCAAUGGGCGAAAGCCUGACGCAGCGACGCCGCGUGGGGGA
rnacentral:rRNA from 1 species